rnacentral:rRNA from 1 species
UUGUCUGGCCAUACUACCCUGAAUGCGCCUGAUCUCAUCUGAUCUUGGAAGCUAAGUAGGGUCGGGCCUGGUUAGUACUUGAUGGUAUGGACCAUCUAGAGUUUAUGGAAAAUACUAA